AAGCAAACAUCUGUCCCUCUCUGCAGCUACUUUUUCUGCUACAUCAAAGCCUCUCCCAAUGGACAGCCCACUGUUCAGGCUCCACUACUGGGUGUCCCCUCUGGAUUUUCUCUCAAACCCUGCAACCAAGACCUAGAGCCUUGCCUGUCCAAGGUGUACCAGAACGUGGAUUUCUUCGGUGCCGACUACCGAGCCUUGUUCACAGCAGACUAUGAGGAGUGUCAGAGGGCCUGCACACAGGACCCUGCCUGUCAGUUCUUUUCUUUUACAAAUGAGGCCUUCA